AGACGACAUUACGUUCGACAUUUCUUUUUCCACGAGACGCUGUUCGAGAAGGUUACCUUUUUCAUGGCUCAUGGUGGGGCACUUUAUUUCCUGACGUUUUUCGUCAAUGCCUGGUGAAGUCUGAGCUUUUUCAUUGCAUUACGUGCACGUGAUCGCUGCCUGGUCAUGAAGAGGUCUCCACUAUUUUGCAAGGCAAUUGAUAUGAAAAGAGGAAAUUUGAAAAGGGUUUCUUGUUCGGUUUGAGAUGUUAAUGGUGUUGUGUGGUGUGCAGUGGUUUAUCAGUCAUUCAGUUGGGAGAUGCCCCGAGAUGGAUGAUCAACUGCUGGGACUUCCCUCACAUCAUCGUCUUUUUCUAUGGAGACGCUGUCCGAGAAGGUUGAGCUUGGCCAUUGCAGGCAACUUUCUAUCUUGACAUUAUUAGUCUUAAAAAUGGUUUUCAUCGUCAGUUGUUGCUCUUUGGUAUGCAGUUCAUGUUCAGGUGGUUUUGUUGCAGCCAGCUAGUGAAAGGGAGUCCAAGUCGAGUUGAGCUGUAGCUUUUGAAGCAGUCAACAAUGCUCGCGUUAUUCCGAAAUGUAACAUCAAUGAAGACAUCAUGAAAUGGUCUUGGUGACGAUGCGAUCAUUAAUCUUCUGCAUGCAGUUUGUUAUCAAGAAGUGGAGAAGCAAGACUUGAAGCAAAGCUGCAAGAAAAAGAAAUGGUAUUGACGUUAAUGUGCAGUGGUUGUCCGACUCCUUUUCAAGCUGUUGCUUUCCUGAAUUUUGCCGGAGUCUUUGAAGUAGCUGAUCCUGUCAUCCUGAAGUUAUGAUGCCGGGGUUAUCCUGGAGUAUCUGUUGUUGGUGUCUUAAGUUACUGUGGCAGUUUGAUUCGGGUUGAUAAAAAUAUUAAUAUCCAUGUAGUAUGUGAUGUAGUAACCUUAAUAAGCUAUUAUGUUUUCCAUUGUGGCAUGUUGUGAACUGAUCUUGGUCUAAAAAGCAUUUGUGCUUCCUGAUAUUUCCCUCACCCAUAUAUAUCUAAUAAUUCUUAAAAAUGGGAUGUUAAAGUGAACAUCAAAUUUUUCAUUUUGCGUAGAAAAUUAAUAGUUCAUUUAUUUUUCACUUUGUGAAAUGACGAAAUAAAAAAUGAUACAACCAA